GAUUCUGGCUCGGAUUGAACGCUGGCGGCAGGCCUAACACAUGCAAGUCGAACGGUAACAGGAAGCAGCUUGCUGCUUGCUGACGAGUGGCGGACGGGUGAGUAAUGUCUGGGAAACUGCCCGAUGGAGGGGGAUAACUACUGGAAACGGUAGCUAAUACCGCAUAAUGUCGCAAGACCAAAGAGGGGGACCUUCGGGCCUCUUGCCAUCGGAUGUGCCCAGAUGGGAUUAGCUAGUUGGUGAGGUAACGGCUCACCAAGGCGACGAUCCCUAGCUGGUCUGAGAGGGUGACCAGCCACACUGGAACUGAGACACGGUCCAGACUCCUACGGGAGGCAGCAGUGGGGAAUAUUGCACAAUGGGCGCAAGCCUGAUGCAGCCAUGCCCGCGUGUAUGAAGAAGGCCUUCGGGUUGUAAAGUACUUUCAGCGGGGAGGAAGGGGUUAAGGUUAAUAACCUUAGCCAUUGACGUUACCCGCAGAAGAAGCACCGGCUAACUCCGUGCCAGCAGCUGC
rnacentral:rRNA from 1 species